GGUGAGAUGGCCGAGUUGGUCUAUGGCGCCAGGUUAAGGUUAUACCUUAACAAGUGACAUCCUGGUACGGGAAACCGUGCGUGGGUUCGAAUCCCACUCUCAUCA
rfam:Dactylellina haptotyla CBS 200.50 unplaced genomic scaffold scaffold00070, whole genome shotgun sequence.